rnacentral:tRNA from 1 species
UCCCAGGUAGCUUAGAUGGUACAGAAUCUGCCUGGAAUGCAGGAGACCUGGGUUUAAUUCCAGGGUUGGGAA